GUACCGUGAGGGAAAGGCGAAAAGAACCCCGGCGAGGGGAGUGAAAAAGAACCUGAAACCGUGUACGUACAAGCAGUGGGAGCACGCUUAGGCGUGUGACUGCGUACCUUUUGUAUAAUGGGUCAGCGACUUAUAUUCUGUAGCAAGGUUAACCGAAUAGGGGAGCCGAAGGGAAACCGAGUCUUAACUGGGCGUUAAGUUGCAGGGUAUAGACCCGAAACCCGGUGAUCUAGCCAUGGGCAGGUUGAAGGUUGGGUAACACUAACUGGAGGACCGAACCGACUAAUGUUGAAAAAUUAGCGGAUGACUUGUGGCUGGGGGUGAAAGGCCAAUCAAACCGGGAGAUAGCUGGUUCUCCCCGAAAGCUAUUUAGGUAGCGCCUCGUGAAUUCAUCUCCGGGGGUAGAGCACUGUUUCGGCAAGGGGGUCAUCCCGACUUACCAACCCGAUGCAAACUGCGAAUACCGGAGAAUGUUAUCACGGGAGACACACGGCGGGUGCUAACGUCCGUCGUGAAGAGGGAAACAACCCAGACCGCCAGCUAAGGUCCCAAAGUCAUGGUUAAGUGGGAAACGAUGUGGGAAGGCCCAGACAGCCAGGAUGUUGGCUUAGAAGCAGCCAUCAUUUAAAGAAAGCGUAAUAGCUCACUGGUCGAGUCGGCCUGCGCGGAAGAUGUAACGGGGCUAAACCAUGCACCGAAGCUGCGGCAGCGACGCUGAUGCGUUGUUGGGUA
rnacentral:rRNA from 1 species